rnacentral:lncRNA from 10 species
CUGGGUGGUUGAGGGAGCUCCUGGUGAAAUGUGCUGAGGCUUCUGCUGAGGUUUCUACCUCAGCUCCACGGCCUGGCCAGGUUUCAAUGGAUUGAAGAAAAUGUUCACGGAAGGAAGAUGAUUAAUUGAUCCAGAGGGCCUGUAGCAACUCUGUUUAACAUGCUAGAUGAGCCAGUCUUAUUCAGUGAUGACUAAGGAUCUAGAGAAAACUGGUGUCAGGUUGGUCUUCUUCUUCCCACCUAUUUUCAGUUGGCCUGCAGUUCCUAGGAUGUGUAUCCUGUAUGCUGGUCACCGGAAGAUAGGCAAAUUUUUGCUUUGUUGCUGGUUCUGGGACAACAGCCAUGAUGACUUCUUGGCAGUCAUUUGCAGACUAAGGUAGCUUUGAAGGUGAAGAUUCUUUGUGUUCAUUCUCAUCCUGAUGUAAAAAUACUACCUGAGACUGGAUAAUUUAUAAACAAAAGAGGUUUAAUUGAUUCACAGUUCCUCAUGCCUGGGGAGGCCUCAGGAAACUUACAAUCACAGCGGAAGGCAAAAGGGAAGAAGGCACCUUCUUCACAAGGUGGCAGGAGAGACAGUGAGGAAGUGCCAUACUUUAAAACCAUCAGCUCUCAUGAGACUUCACUCAUGAUCACGAGAACAGCAUGGGGAACCUUCUCCCAUGAUUCAAUCACCUCCCACCAGCUCCCUCCUCGACAUGUGGGGAUUACAAUUUGAGAUGAGAUUUGGGUGGGUACACAGAGACAAACCAUAUCUAUCAAUUCUGAAUGUUUAAUACCAGUAUUAUUAGAGGAGGAUCUAGUCCCCUUCAGGACAUAAGGAUCUAUGAUCCUCUGUCAGAACAUAUUAGACCCUUUCCUUUGGCUAUAACCAAAAGAUUAUAAACAUACAUCCAGGAAUAAAAAUAGUAUAUUAAAAUUGUGUGUGUGUGUGUGUGUACGAAUGUAAAUUUUUUGUGCCAAAUCUAAAGACUCUUUACCUAGUCCUAAUGUGUCUUGAAGAUCUUCUGCAGUUUUUUUUCUAGAAAUUUUAUAGUUUUAUGUUUUACAUUUAAGUCUGUGAUUCAUUUUUAGUUAAUUUUUUUUGUAUAAGAUGUGAAGCUUAGGUUAAGGUUCAUGUUUUUGCCUAUGGUUGUUCAAUUGCUCUAAUAGCAUUUAUUGAAAAGGUUAAUGAUUUAUUUGUACUUCUGCCAAAAUUAAUUGAUCAUACUCAUGUGGUCAUACUUCCGCUUUCUCUGUUUUAUACCACUUAGCUUUGUCUAUCUUGCUAUCAAUACCACACUGUCUUGAUUACUGUAGCUAUAUAUUACUGUAGCUAUAUAGUAAACUUUAAUAAAAGGAAGAUGAACUUUCUUCUUCUUUUUUCAAAAUCGUAAUACAAAAGAUUAAAUGGAAGGCUCUGGAGCCCUGAGGAAUAGCAGUUACUAGACUGAAGGAACCUGAGUUUCUAGAUUGCGAUGUUGAGCAGAGUCCCUGCUAACCCAGGAAAACUCUGAUGUGAGAAAGAAGAAAACCCGGAUUGCACUAACUCACCGAGAUUUCGAAGUUUAGUUGUUCGGCGAUGAACUUGUCCUGAACAACAUAGAGGAACAGUGGGAAAUACAUGGAGUGUGCUUAUAAGAAGCUAUGGUAGGCAGGAUUUCAAGAUGUCCUUGUGAUCUCUGCCUCCUUGUGUUUCUCCCAUGACUAUGUCAUGUUCCACAGCAAAAGGGAUUUUGCAAUGUAUUAAGGGUACUGAACGGUUGACCUUAAGAUCGUGGGAUUAUCUGGGUGGGCCUAAUUUCAUCACAUGAGUCCUGUAAAAGAAGUGAAUUUUCUCUAUUUGGUAGCAGAAGAGGCAGUCAGAGACAUCUGAAGUGUGAGAGGGAUUCAGUGCUGAAAUGGAGAAGGUCACAUGGUAAGAACCUGAGAGUGGCUUCUGGUAGCUGAGAGUGAUCCUUGGCAAGAUAAUGGAACCUUAGUCCUAGAGCCUCAAGGAAAUUAAUUCUGCUGACAAUCUGAGGGAACUUUGAAGCAGAUCUUUUCCUAGUUGAGCCUCCAAGUAAGGAUUUAGCUAGCUAGCUGGUACUUUAAUUUGAGCCUUAUGAGUCUCUGAGCAGAGGACCCAGGGAAAUAAAGUCAGGCUCCUAAUGCAUGGUGAUGAUGACGUGAUAAGUGUGUUUUGUUAAGCUACUAAGUUUGUGGUAAUUUUUAAUGUAGCAAUAAAAAACUAAUGCAGAGAGUGAAAAGUGCUGUGUCUAAGAUAUGUGGCAAAAUCAGGGUUAGUCCAUGCUGGUGUCACCAUCCAAGGAAUUGGAUCUGGUGAGCAGAAUGUGGCAGCAGGAGGCAGUGUGAUGGUGACAGUCACAAGGAGAUGGGUUCUGGGGCUGCAGUUUGAGGGUUGAAGCAGCUGCUGUGGAUUUAAGGAUCUGAGAACUCAGGCACAGAAGAGGAGGUCUGGCAAAAUCUGGGCAGAUUUUGCCCAAGAAAUGGCCUGGGGUCAGAGAUUGAGUCUAAAUCUCAGUGUCAAGAACUGAAGUUCACUUAAUUCUUUUUUUUAAAGAAACUUCUCGUUUAAUAAACUAGGCUGCUGAUUUUGAGAUAUUUACUUAUGAUUUUUUCAUGGUUCUUCAGAAUUAUCUCAGAGGGGUCUGAGAGGCUGAGCAGACAUAGCCUUAGUGACCCAUUUCUGUUUUAGCCAGGGCAGCCCUGCAUGUAGGUAUUUAUAUUUAGGGUUCCAUAUGACACUGCUCUUGGAA